rnacentral:precursor_RNA from 15 species
GAAGACUGGUGUACAUGAAUGGUCCUUACGUGAGGUAGUAGGUUAUAUAGUUUGGAGAUACACUCAAUGGCGAUAGCUAUACAGCCUGCUAGCUUUCCUUGGGCCAUUCACAAAUCUUCAGUGCGGUA